UCUCGAAGUUAAUUUUUUAACGUGCUUGGGGCCUGUAAAAAAGUAUAAAUAAAUUAAAAAUAAAAAAACAAAACCUGAAAUUAUAUCACCAAAAAUCAUUUUAAUAAUUUUUAAAUAUUUUAACAUUUUUUCUGGAUUUAUAGAAUAAUUUCAAUAAAGUGCUAACUAGAAAUAAUACAGAAUAAUACAAAACUAAGACGUUGAACAAUUGCUUUUAAUUCAUAAUACUUUUAUAAUUGUUUUAUCUAUUAUCUAAAGUAUACUACACAUUACUGAAAAAAUAACGAAAUAACAAACAUAUAAGAAAAUAAUUAGCUUAAAAUAAACUUAUCUUAAAAUUAUAACAAUAAUGUCACCAAAUUUGCUUAAAUCAAGUAUUCUCACAAAAUGCCAUAGAGCUGUUGUAAGAAGUCGACCACAAAUACCAUUGGAGUUGGCUCCUGAGAAAACUCGAAAAAGAAGAUUAACUGAUCUCAGCACUCAGAUAAGUACUGAUGAGUUGUGUGAUUUAUCUAAAAAAACUAAAAUUAGAUGAAAAUAAAAGUGGAGUACAGUUAGUGGAUAAAAUUUGUAAUCCGGAGUCCGACUAUGAACUGUUAAAUAUAAAUAAAAAGAUUGAAGAAACCAAAAUGACUCCACAAGAAGCAUUAUCUUUAAUAAUUGAGGCAAACCUGACAAAGAAGUCGUAUAUUUUAGUGAGAAAAAAUGCUUUGAAACAUAAGUGUAAUAUUUACUUACCUUAUAAAAAGGUAUUUUCACACACAGUGUGUAAAAAUUAUGCUACAGAGGCUACUUUUGAAACCAAGCCCUUUCGUCUCCAUAAGUUAGAUCAUGGUCCAGCUACUCACGUGACAGUUACAAAAGCAGAUGCUCUAAAGUAUUAUAAACAAUUGCAUACUGUUCGCAGAAUGGAAACUGCUGCUGGAAAUUUGUAUAAAGAAAAAAUUGUCAGAGGAUUUUGUCACCUAUAUUCUGGGCAAGAAGCAUGCGCUGUUGGUAUGGUAGCAGCAUUGAGACCUCAAGAUUCUGUUAUCACUGCUUAUAGAGCUCAUGGAUGGACUUAUCUGAUGGGUGUGACGCCGCUUGGUGUUCUUGCUGAACUAACUGGACGGCAAAGUGGCAAUGCUCGUGGCAAGGGUGGUUCAAUGCAUAUGUAUGCAAAAAAUUUUUAUGGUGGUAACGGCAUCGUUGGAGCUCAGGUGCCGCUUGGAGCUGGAAUUGCUUUUGCCCAUAAAUAUCAAAAUACAGGUGGUGUAUGUCUUGCUUUAUAUGGUGAUGGUGCUGCAAAUCAAGGUCAAAUAUUUGAAGUUUACAAUAUGUCAAAAUUGUGGAACGUCCCAUGCAUAUUUAUAUGUGAAAAUAAUGGUUAUGGUAUGGGCACAAGUGUAGAUCGAGCUUCAGCUAGUACUGAAUAUUAUACCAGAGGAGAUUACGUCCCAGGAAUAUGGGUUGAUGGAAUGGAUGUCUUAGCGGUUCGAGAGGCAACAAAGUUUGCUAUUGAUUACUGCACUUCAGGAAAAGGUCCGUUAGUCAUGGAAACUUUUACGUACAGAUAUAGCGGUCACAGUAUGUCAGAUCCUGGUACAAGUUACCGCACGAGAGAAGAAAUUCAAGAAGUUAGACAGACUAGAGAUCCGCUCACUAGUUUUAAAGAAAGAAUUUUAAAUGCCAAUCUUGUCAGUUCUGAUGAAUUAAAGAUUUAACGUCAUUCUAUCUUUUGUGUAUGUAAUGACCUCUUCUUCCUUGUCACCUCUCAGCUAUAUCUAUGUGCCAGUGCUUUUUACUAUUAUACAUAUUGUAACAAAAUGGAAAGUGAUAUUCGUAAAGAAGUAGAUGAUGCUGUGAAAAUAGCAAAAACUGAUAACGAAAUACCUCUUAGUGAACUCACGACUGAUAUCUAUGCUUAUGGAAUCGAAAAAGAAAUUCGUAAUACUACACCAUUUCAACCAUUAUUACAUUCCAAUUUAGGACCUGCAAUCAAUGCCUAAAUAUUGUUGAAGGACAAGUGUUUUUUUCUCAUAAAAUUUACAUUGAUGAAUACAAAAAUGUAAAUAAAGUAUAGAUUUUAUA